AUUCUUGCUUUGGCAGAACUCAUACUAAAAUUGGAAUGACAUAGAGACGAUUAGCAUGGCCCCUGGGCAAGGAUGACAUGCAAAUUUGUGAAAUGCCCAUAUUUUAA
rnacentral:snRNA from 1 species